UACAGAGGGUGCAAGCGUUAAUCGGAAUUACUGGGCGUAAAGCGCGCGUAGGUGGUUUGUUAAGUCGGCUGUGAAAACCCUGGAGCUUAACUCCAGGUCUGCACUCGAUACUAUUGGUCUUGAGUAUGGGAGAGGAUAGCGGAAUUCCAGGUGUAGCGGUGGAAUGCGUAGAUAUCUGGAAGAACACCGGUAGCGAAGGCGGCUAUCUGGCCCAAUACUGACGCUGAGGCGCGAAGGCCGGGGAGG
rnacentral:rRNA from 1 species